rnacentral:rRNA from 1 species
GUGAACGCUGGCGGUAGGCCUAACACAUGCAAGUCGAACGGCAGCACAGUAAGAGCUUGCUCUUACGGGUGGCGAGUGGCGGACGGGUGAGGAAUACAUCGGAAUCUACUUUUUCGUGGGGGAUAACGUAGGGAAACUUACGCUAAUACCGCAUACGACCUACGGGUGAAAGCAGGGGAUCUUCGGACCUUGCGCGAUUGAAUGAGCCGAUGUCGGAUUAGCUAGUUGGCGGGGUAAAGGCCCACCAAGGCGACGAUCCUUAGCUGGUCUGAGAGGAUGAUCAGCCACACUGGAACUGAGACACGGUCCAGACUCCUACGGGAGGCAGCAGUGGGGAAUAUUGGACAAUGGGCGCAAGCCUGAUCCAGCCAUACCGCGUGGGUGAAGAAGGCCUUCGGGUUGUAAAGCCCUUUUGUUGGGAAAGAAAAGCAGCAGGUUAAUACCCCGCUGUUCUGACGGUACCCAAAGAAUAAGCACCGGCUAACUUCGUG